UACGGAGGGUGCAAGCGUUGCUCGGAAUUAUUGGGCGUAAAGGGUAGGUAGGUGGUCUCAUUUGUCUGGGGUGAAAGCCUUGAGCUUAACUCAAGAAGUGCCCCGGAAACGGUGAGACUGGAGUCCUGGAGAGGGUCGUGGAAUUCCACGUGUAGCGGUGAAAUGCGUAGAGAUGUGGAGGAACACCAAUGGCGAAGGCAGCCUUCUGGGACGGUACUGACGCUGAGACGCGAAAGCGUGGGGAGCAAACAGG
rnacentral:rRNA from 1 species